rnacentral:rRNA from 1 species
AUUGAACGCUGGCGGAAUGCUUUACACAUGCAAGUCGAACGGCAGCACGGACUUCGGUCUGGUGGCGAGUGGCGAACGGGUGAGUAAUGUAUCGGAGCGUGCCCAGUCGUGGGGGAUAACGUAGUGAAAAUUACGCUAAUACCGCAUACGAUCUAUGGAUGAAAGCGGGGGAUCGCAAGACCUCGCGCGAUUGGAGCGGCCGAUAUCAGAUUAGGUAGUCGGUGGGGUAAAGGCCCACCAAGCCAACGAUCUGUAGCUGGUCUGAGAGGACGACCAGCGACACUGGAACUGAGACACGGUCCAGACUCCUACGGGAGGCAGCAGUGGGGAAUUUUGGACAAUGGGCGAAAGCCUGAUCCAGCCAUUCCGCGUGCAGGAUGAAGGCCCUCGGGUUGUAAACUGCUUUUGUACAGAACGAAAAGGUUUCUACUAAUACUAGGAGCUCAUGACGGUACUGUAAGAAUAAGCACCGGCUAACUACGUGCCAGCCGCCGCCGUAA